GGAUGACUUAGUACGGCGAGUGAAGCGGCAAAAGCUCAAAUUUGAAAUCUGGUACCUUCGGUGCCCGAGUUGUAAUUUGGAGAGGGCAACUUUGGGGCCGUUCCUUGUCUAUGUUCCUUGGAACAGGACGUCAUAGAGGGUGAGAAUCCCGUGUGGCGAGGAGUGCGGUUCUUUGUAAAGUGCCUUCGAAGAGUCGAGUUGUUUGGGAAUGCAGCUCUAAGUGGGUGGUAAAUUCCAUCUAAAGCUAAAUAUUGGCGAGAGACCGAUAGCGAACAAGUACAGUGAUGGAAAGAUGAAAAGAACUUUGAAAAGAGAGUGAAAAAGUACGUGAAAUUGUUGAAAGGGAAGGGCAUUUGAUCAGACAUGGUGUUUUGUGCCCUCUGCUCCUUGUGGGUAGGGGAAUCUCGCAUUUCACUGGGCCAGCAUCAGUUUUGGUGGCAGGAUAAAUCCAUAGGAAUGUAGCUUGCCUCGGUAAGUAUUAUAGCCUGUGGGAAUACUGCCAGCUGGGACUGAGGACUGCGACGUAAGUCAAGGAUGCUGGCAUAAUGGUUAUAUGCCG
rnacentral:rRNA from 1 species